rnacentral:rRNA from 1 species
UACGUAGGGUGCGAGCGUUAUUCGGAAUUACUGGGCGUAAAGCGUGCGUAGGCGGUUUUGUAAGGUAGAUGUGAAAUCCCCGGGCUUAACCUGGGAAUGGCAAUUGGGACUGCAAGGCUUGAGUGCGGCAGAGGAGACUGGAAUUCCUGGUGUAGCAGUGAAAUGCGUAGAUAUCAGGAGGAACACCGAUGGCGAAGGCAGGUCGCUGGGCUGACACUGACGCUCAUGCACGAAAGCGUGGGAAGCGAACGGG